GACAUCCAUGCUCAGUCAGUUGGGUUGUUUUGUGAAAGUAAAAGCGAGUCCGUUAACGCCCCGCCCACCGAAGCAGAUAAUGGGAGAACUUUGGUUUGUCGCUUACAUCACUGAUUACUCGUUGUGUCACACGCAGACAAAAUGACCUUCUUUUCACUGCCAAUCAGUUUGUUUUUUUUUUUUUCCUUCUAAUUUCAACCCAGGACGAUCUUGCUAUUAGCAUCUGUUCAAACUGUUCAACCAUUUCGGGUAUUCUCACCCAAGUUGACUCUGGAAACUCCCGCACGCACUCUGACCCUUAUUUAUUUUUUUACCGACACGAUGUUGCUCACCACUGGCCAUCAUCAUUAUCAUCGUUUAACGUCACUUUUCCAUGUUUGCAUGAGUUGGGACAGAAUUUACGAAAGCGCAUUUUUUACGGCCGGAUAUCUUUCCUAUCGCCAACCCUCACCUGUUUCCAAAUAAGUUGAUAUUUGCUCCAUGGCAAGACAUAUUUUUGCGGAAUACUGGAAAUGAACGACACUGCUUGUAUGACAGUGACGAUCGUUUACAUC